rnacentral:rRNA from 1 species
UACGGAGGGGGCAAGCGUUGUUCGGAAUUACUGGGCGUAAAGGGCGUGUAGGCGGAUCUGCCCGUCAGAGGUGAAAGCCCCGGGCUCAACCUGGGAACGGCCUUUGAUACUGCAGAUCUAGAGUCCGGGAGAGGAUCGUGGAAUUCCCAGUGUAGAGGUGAAAUUCGUAGAUAUUGGGAAGAACACCAAUGGCGAAGGCGGCGAUCUGGACCGGUACUGACGCUGAGGCGUGAAUGCGUGGGGAGCAACCAGG